rnacentral:lncRNA from 1 species
GUGGACAUCAUCAUUCUACACCAACUCAUGUUCAUAACCCGCCCACUGCCACUCCUAGUACCCCUUCCACACCAACACAUGAAAGCCCUCCAAUCAUUGACCCAGGAACUCCAACACCAACGUAUGGAAGCCCUCCAACAAAUGAAAGCCCUCCAACCAUUGACCCAGUAACUCCUUCAACACCAACAUAUGGAAGCCCUCCAACAACAGAAAGCCCUCCAAGCAUAGCCCCGGAAACUCCUUCAACACCAAGUACUGGAAGCCCUCCCACCAUAGAUCCUGUGACUCCUUCGACCCCAACAUAUGGAAGCCCUCCAACCAUUGACCCAGUAACUCCUUCAACGCCAACAUAUGGAAGCCCUCCAACAACAGAAAGCCCUCCAAGUAUAGCCCCAG